CAUGCAGUCGAGCGGCACGCACAUUGACCCUUCGGGGGAUUGUUGGGCGGCGAGCGGCGGACGGGUGAGUAAUGCCUGGGAACAUGCCUUAGUGUGGGGGAUAACCAUUGGAAACGAUGGCUAAUACCGCAUAAUCUCUACGGAGCAAAGAGGGGGACCUUCGGGCCUCUCGCGCUAAGAUUGGCCCAGGUGGGAUUAGCUAGUAGGUGGGGUAACGGCUCACCUAGGCGACGAUCCCUAGCUGGUCUGAGAGGAUGAUCAGCCACACUGGAACUGAGACACGGUCCAGACUCCUACGGGAGGCAGCAGUGGGGAAUAUUGCACAAUGGGGGAAACCCUGAUGCAGCCAUGCCGCGUGUGUGAAGAAGGCCUUCGGGUUGUAAAGCACUUUCAGCAGUGAGGAAGGCGGUAUCGUUAAUAGCGGUAUUGUUUGACGUUAGCUGCAGAAGAAGCACCGGCUAACUCCGUGCCAGCAGCCGCGGUAAUACGGAGGGUGCGAGCGUUAAUCGGAAUUACUGGGCGUAAAGCGCAUGCAUGCGGCUUGUUAAGCCAGAUGUGAAAGCCCGGGGCUCAACCUCGGAAUCGCAUUUGGAACUGGGCAUGCUAGAGUCUUGUAGAGGGGGGUAGAAUUUCAGGUGUAGCGUGAAAUGCGUAGAGAUCUGAAGGAAUACCGGUGGCGAUGCGCCCCUGACAAAGACUGA
rnacentral:rRNA from 1 species